rnacentral:rRNA from 1 species
UGGGGAAUAUUGGACAAUGGGGGAAACCCUGAUCCAGCAAUGCCGCGUGAGUGAAGAAGGCCUUAGGGUUGUAAAGCUCUUUCGCCCGCGAAGAUAAUGACGGUAGCGGGAGAAGAAGCCCCGGCUAACUCCGUGCCAGCAGCCGCGGUAAUACGGAGGGGGCUAGCGUUGUUCGGAAUUACUGGGCGUAAAGCGUACGUAGGCGGAUGCGCAAGUUGGGGGUGAAAUCCCGGGGCUUAACCUCGGAAUUGCCCUCAAAACUGCACGUCUUGAGACCGAGAGAGGUAAGGGGAAUUCCUAGUGUAGAGGUGAAAUUCGUAGAUAUUAGGAAGAACACCAGUGGCGAAGGCGCCUUACUGGCUCGGUACUGACGCUGAGGUACGAAAGCGUGGGGAGCAAACA